CCAGACUCCUACGGGAGGCAGCAGUGGGGAAUAUUGGGCAAUGGAGGCAACUCUUACCCAGCAAUGCCGCGUGAAUGAAGAAGGUCUUCGGAUUGUAAAGUUCUUUAAUUGGGGACGAAAAAAAUGACGGUACCCAAGGAAUAAGCCCCGGCUAACUACGUGCCAGCAGCCGCGGUAAUACGUAGGGGGCAAGCGUUAUCCGGAUUUACUGGGUGUAAAGGGCGUGUAGCCGGGCCGGCAAGUCAGAUGUGAAAUCCCAAGGCUCAACCUUGGAACUGCAUUUGAAACUGUUGGUCUUGAGUAUCGGAGAGGCAGGCGGAAUUCCUAGUGUAGCGGUGAAAUGCGUAGAUAUUAGGAGGAACACCAGUGGCGAAGGCGGCCUGCUGGACGACAACUGACGGUGAGGCGCGAAAGCGUGGGGAGCAAACAGGAUUAGAUACCCCUGUAA
rnacentral:rRNA from 1 species